rnacentral:rRNA from 1 species
GAUGAACGCUGGCGGCGUGCUUAAUACAUGCAAGUCGAGCGGACGGACGAGGAGCUUGCUUGGUUGACGUUAGCGGCGGACGUGUGUAUAACACGUGUAACAUCCCCCUGAAUUUCUGGUAUCACCUCGGGAAAGCGGAGAUAAUACCAGAGAAUAUUUUGAACCGCGUUGGGGAAUAGUGAAAUACGGUGUUUCUGGCUCGUAUAGAGGCUUCCCCGCUGCAUUAGCUAGUUGGUACGGUAACGGCUUAUCAAGGGAACGAUGCAUAGCCGAGCUGACAGGGUGAUCGGCCACAUUGGAACUGAGACACGGUCCAGACUCCUACGGGAGGCAGCAGUAGGGAAUCGGCCGCAAUGGGCGAAAGCCUGACGGAGCAACGCCGCGCGAGUGAUGAAGGUCUUCGGAUCGUAAAACUCUGUUAUUAGGGAAGAACAUAUGUGUAAGUAACUGUGCACAUCGUGACGGUACCUAAUCAGAAAGCCACGGCUAACUACGUG